GGCGUGUGGUUUAAUUCGUUGCUACACGAAGAACCUUACCUGGGUUUGACAUAUAGGUUGUAGGGAACUGAAAAGGGACCGACCCUUCGGGGAGCCUAUACAGGUGUUGCAUGGCUGUCGUCAGCUCGUGUCGUGAGAUGUUCGGUUAAGUCCGCUAACGAGCGCAACCCUCGUCGUAUGUUAUAUGUGUCAUACGAGACUGCCGGUAAAAGCCGGAGGAAGGUGAGGAUGAUGUCAAGUCAGCAUGACCUUUAUAUCCAGGGCUACACACACGCUACAAUGGUCUGUACAAUGGGUAGCCAAGCCGCGAGGCGGAGCCAAUCCUGAAAGCAGGCCUCAGUUCAGAUUGCAGUCUGCAACUCGACUGCAUGAAGCCGGAGUUGCUAGUAACCGCAGGUCAGCAAUACUGCGGUGAAUACGUUCCCGGGUCUU
rnacentral:rRNA from 1 species